CCCACAGAGCUGCUCGUGCUGUGGAUUUAAGGGUGGCAAUAAAAAGCAUCACACUCACGCACAACCCGGGAUAAAUUUAGCUCUGAGGCCCCUGCACAUCGUCACCGGACUGCGUGUGCCUCGGGGCCGUACCCGGUCUCCGUUAAACCUCCCGACACAGGCACAUCGAACGCGCCGAUCCUCCCCUAAAUGCUGUGUGCAGACAUCGUGCCUGCCUCGGGCUGCCUCUCUCCUGCCCCAAAUCAGCCCGGCUGCAGGGCAGGGCCCGGUGCUUCACCCUUCCCUGGUCCUGGCCUAGGAGCAAUAGGGUCACGUUGGAGCCUUUCUUUUAACAAAAAGCCUCUUUUUUCCUGAAAUCUGUCCAGGCUCCUUCCACAGAUGGUCCCAGUGCUUCGUGCUCUGCCACCUCCCUGCUCUUCUCCCCUCUCGGGUCAGGGGUUCAGGCCCCUCUCCGCUUGCAGGUGUGACCGAUGAGGCAGCAGCUGCUGGGGAUUUGGGCAGGACAGGCAGCCUCCAGCUGGGCUCAUCCAAGGCAGCGACCCUCAGGGAGGGAGGUGGCACUGCUGGGAGCAGCAGCACUGGGGAACACCUGAGCUUUCCCUGGCAUUUUGCUUUGGUGCCGGCAGCCUGGUAGCACGCGCAUCUCAGCUCCCCUUUCCCCAUCCACCACAGAGCACCAGAAAGCCCUCAGAAAUCCCUGGCGGUUGGAGGAGAACGUUUAAAGUUGUGGUGUCAAAAGGACCUGAAACCAACCCCAGCUCAUCCCUGCCCAGUUCAGAGGAAAACUCGUGGCUGCUGGGAGGGAGAAUAAAAGGCAGCCCUGAAGGCGAGGAAGAGCUGAUGCUCAGACAAGGAUUAGCUGGCUCCUAGCUUGCACGGUCACCACGCUGCCUGACAUCCCCUGCGUUUCUUCCCAUCAGAGUGAGAAGGUGAACACAGCCUGGGAUGCAGAGCUGCUGGUGACUCAAAAGGAGAGGCUGAAAUCAGCUGAGAGCUGGUUGCUGUCCAAAAAGCCCAGGACAAGCUG
rnacentral:lncRNA from 1 species